rnacentral:ncRNA from 15 species
ACGGAAUAAUAGGAUAGAGGUACAAAUCAGAUUUUAGGAUUUGUUUAAAAGGGAAGAUCGGUGUAAUUCCGACGCUGUCCCGCAACUGUAAAUGGGAGCACUUUUCAAAAGGCCACUGUUACGUGUCGUAAUGGGAAGGUGAAAGGUGUGAUGAACAUAAGCCAGGAGACCUGCCUUUAUCUAGUACAGCCAA